UUAAAUUGAAGAGUUUGAUCAUGGCUCAGAUUGAACGCUGGCGGCAGGCCUAACACAUGCAAGUCGAACGGUAACAGGAAGCAGCUUGCUGCUUCGCUGACGAGUGGCGGACGGGUGAGUAAUGUCUGGGAAACUGCCUGAUGGAGGGGGAUAACUACUGGAAACGGUGGCUAAUACCGCAUAACGUCGCAAGACCAAAGAGGGGGACCUUCGG
rnacentral:rRNA from 1 species